rnacentral:rRNA from 1 species
GGUGAACGCUGGCGGUAGGCCUAACACAUGCAAGUCGAACGGCAGCACAGGAGAGCUUGCUCUCUGGGUGGCGAGUGGCGGACGGGUGAGGAAUACAUCAGAAUCUACUCUGUCGUGGGGGAUAACGUAGGGAAACUUACGCUAAUACCGCAUACGACCUACGGGUGAAAGCAGGGGACCUUCGGGCCUUGCGCGAUUGAAUGAGCCGAUGUCGGAUUAGCUAGUUGGCGGGGUAAAGGCCAACCAAGGCGACGAUCCGUAGCUGGUCUGAGAGGAUGAUCAGGCACACUGGAACUGAGACACGGUCCAGACUCCGACGGGAGGCAGCAGUGGGGAAUAUUGGACAAUGGGCGCAAGCCUGAUCCAGCCAUACCGGGUGGGUGAAGAGGGCCUUCGGGUUGUAUAGCCCUUUUGUUGGAAAAGAAAUCCAGCUGGCUAAUACCCGGUUGGGAUGACGGUACCCAAAGAAUAAGCACCGGCUAACUUCGUGCCAGCAGCCGCAGUAA